AGACUCAGUGAAAUUGAACUCGCUGUGAAGAUGCAGUGUACCCGCGGCAAGACGGAAAGACCCCGUGAACCUUUACUAUAGCUUGACACUGAACAUUGAGCCUUGAUGUGUAGGAUAGGUGGGAGGCUUUGAAGUGUGGACGCCAGUCUGCAUGGAGCCGACCUUGAAAUACCACCCUUUAAUGUUUGAUGUUCUAACGUUGACCCGUAAUCCGGGUUGCGGACAGUGUCUGGUGGGUAGUUUGACUGGGGCGGUCUCCUCCUAAAGAGUAACGGAGGAGCACGAAGGUUGGCUAAUCCUGGUCGGACAUCAGGAGGUUAGUGCAAUGGCAUAAGCCAGCUUGACUGCGAGCGUGACGGCGCGAGCAGGUGCGAAAGCAGGUCAUAGUGAUCCGGUGGUUCUGAAUGGAAGGGCCAUCGCUCAACGGAUAAAAGGUACUCCGGGGAUAACAGGCUGAUACCGCCCAAGAGUUCAUAUCGACGGCGGUGUUUGGCACCUCGAUGUCGGCUCAUCACAUCCUGGGGCUGAAGUAGGUCCCAAGGGUAUGGCUGUUCGCCAUUUAAAGUGGUACGCGAGCUGGGUUUAGAACGUCGUGAGACAGUUCGGUCCCUAUCUGCCGUGGGCGCUGGAGAACUGAGGGGGGCUGCUCCUAGUACGAGAGGACCGGAGUGGACGCAUCACUGGUGUUCGGGUUGUCAUGCCAAUGGCACUGCCCGGUAGCUAAAUGCGGAAGAGAUAAGUGCUGAAAGCAUCUAAGCACGAAACUUGCCCCGAGAUGAGUUCUCCCUGACUCCUUGAGAGUCCUGAAGGAACGUUGAAGACGACGACGUUGAUAGGCCGGGUGUGUAAGCGCAGCGAUGCGUUGAGCUAACCGGUACUAAUGAACCGUGAGG
rnacentral:rRNA from 1 species